CUAAUAUUCCUGAGUCUAUAGAAGCACAAUACGAGAUCAAUUGAUUUUCAACAACAUUCAAGUAUUUGUUCAUCGAUUUCCAUUUCUUAUGCUGAGUGAAGUUGAUGAAGAAAAUUGUUAGAGUUAUAUCCAUUAAUUGCAAUAUGCUCAGUUUUUAUCUACUUGGGUUUCCAUUUAUUGACAAGAACAAAGGAAUGGGAGACUUUGCUGGAUGGUUUGGAAGAAAUAUCAAAUUCAUUCGUAUUAUAUCCAAAAAAAAUCAGUUGGGUAAACUUUGCUAGCAUUAAGCCUGUCCUUGGAUUAUUAUUUUUGGUUCCUUUUAUUGAAAGUUGGGAUACUGCUUGGAUAAUUUACAAAAGCAUAAUCUUUGUAUCUGCAACAUUACAAGCCUACUAUUUUAUCAUUUUUAUUUUCCACAUUCUGGAAACGUACAAAUGGAAGUUGAAGGAAAUGAAUUCGAUAAUGAAAAAAUCUAGGAGCAUCUUGACUCAAAACAUCAUAUCCGAGAGUUUUUUCGAUGAACAAAUUGAUCAUUUAAUUUUGAUGAAGAGGUCAAAUAGAGACUUCAAUAAACUAGGUGGAGAAUUUAUCAUCAGAUAUAUUGUUGUAUUCUGCUUCAAUUUGUUUCACUGUGUGGUGCAAUGUGAAUACUCGUAUAUUUUAACCGUGAUUGCUUUUUUGCCAGGUUUGACUUUCUUGAUCAUUGAAUGUGAGGAAGUAAUGCUGUUGAGUGAAAAGCUGUUGCAGCAGAUUAUUUGGAAUUUACAAUAUCAAAUAACCCACAACAAGAAGUUCGACUCAAAAAAUGUAAAAGCUUUGAUCAAAUUCAGGAAUGCUCUGAAAUUAUAUAAAAUGGAAUUCUCUUGCAAUGGCUACAUUAACUUGGAUCACCAGUUGAUACUUAAAAUAAUAGAAAUGAUUACUACAAUUAUCAUAAUAAAAUGUCAAAUGCCCAAAUGAAAAUAAAAAAUUUG